rnacentral:ncRNA from 1 species
AUUAGCAUGGAAUAAUGAAAUAGGACUUUGGUUCUAUUUUGUUGGUUUCUAGGACCGAAGUAAUGAUUAAUAGGGAUAGUUGGGGGCAUUAGUAUUUAAUUGUCAGAGGUGAAAUUCUUGGAUUUAUGAAAGACUAACUUCUGCGAAAGCAUUUGCCAAGGAUGUUUUCAUUAAUCAAGAACGAAAGUUAGGGGAUCGAAGACGAUCAGAUACCGUCGUAGUCUUAACCAUAAACUAUGCCGACUAGGGAUCAGGCAAGGAGUUUUUUGACUUGCUUGGCACCUUAUGAGAAAUCAAAGUUUUUGGGUUCC